AGAGUUGAUCCUGGCUCAGGACGAACGCUGGCGGCGUGCCUAAUACAUGCAAGUAGAACGCUGAAGAGAGGAGCUUGCUCUUCUUGGAUGAGUUGCGAACGGGUGAGUAACGCGUAGGUAACCUGCCUUGUAGCGGGGGAUAACUAUUGGAAACGAUAGCUAAUACCGCAUAACAAUGGAUGACACAUGUCAUUUAUUUGAAAGGGGCAAUUGCUCCACUACAAGAUGGACCUGCGUUGUAUUAGCUAGUAGGUGAGGUAACGGCUCACCUAGGCGACGAUACAUAGCCGACCUGAGAGGGUGAUCGGCCACACUGGGACUGAGACACGGCCCAGACUCCUACGGGAGGCAGCAGUAGGGAAUCUUCGGCAAUGGGGGCAACCCUGACCGAGCAACGCCGCGUGAGUGAAGAAGGUUUUCGGAUCGUAAAGCUCUGUUGUAAGUCAAGAACGAGUGUGAGAGUGGAAAGUUCACACUGUGACGGUAGCUUACCAGAAAGGGACGGCUAACUACGUGCCAGCAGCCGCGGUAAUACGUAGGUCCCGAGCGUUGUCCGGAUUUAUUGGGCGUAAAGCGAGCGCAGGCGGUUUGAUAAGUCUGAAGUUAAAGGCUGUGGCUCAACCAUAGUUCGCUUUGGAAACUGUCAAACUUGAGUGCAGAAGGGGAGAGUGGAAUUCCAUGUGUAGCGGUGAAAUGCGUAGAUAUAUGGAGGAACACCGGUGGCGAAAGCGGCUCUCUGGUCUGUAACUGACGCUGAGGCUCGAAAGCGUGGGGAGCGAACAGGAUUAGAUACCCUGGUAGUCCACGCCGUAAACGAUGAGUGCUAGGUGUUGGAUCCUUUCCGGGAUUCAGUGCCGCAGCUAACGCAUUAAGCACUCCGCCUGGGGAGUACGACCGCAAGGUUGAAACUCAAAGGAAUUGACGGGGGCCCGCACAAGCGGUGGAGCAUGUGGUUUAAUUCGAAGCAACGCGAAGAACCUUACCAGGUCUUGACAUCCCGAUGCUAUUUCUAGAGAUAGAAAGUUACUUCGGUACAUCGGUGACAGGUGGUGCAUGGUUGUCGUCAGCUCGUGUCGUGAGAUGUUGGGUUAAGUCCCGCAACGAGCGUAACCCCUAUUGUUAGUUGCCAUCAUUCAGUUGGGCACUCUAGCGAGACUGCCGGUAAUAAACCGGAGGAAGGUGGGGAUGACGUCAAAUCAUCAUGCCCCUUAUGACCUGGGCUACACACGUGCUACAAUGGUUGGUACAACGAGUUGCGAGUCGGUGACGGCAAGCUAAUCUCUUAAAGCCAAUCUCAGUUCGGAUUGUAGGCUGCAACUCGCCUACAUGAAGUCGGAAUCGCUAGUAAUCGCGGAUCAGCACGCCGCGGUGAAUACGUUCCCGGGCCUUGUACACACCGCCCGUCACACCACGAGAGUUUGUAACACCCGAAGUCGGUGAGGCAACCUUUUGGAGCCAGCCGCCUAAGGUGGGAUAGAUGCUUGGGGUGAAGUCGUAACAAGGUA
rnacentral:rRNA from 1 species